CAGGAUGAUCACUUCAAUUCAGUGCUGGCAUUGUCUUCACCUGAUGCCUACGAGCCCUACUUUCUAGAUAAUUUCCCAGAAAAUGCUGUUUUCCUUUCUAAGGAGGAGCCCACCCAGUGCCAAGAAUGUUACCAACAUUGUAAAUUACCAAAUUCAUUGGAUUGUUGCUACCUUGAUCUGGUUGUUGGCUUGGCAACGGCUACUUAUGGGUAAGUAUGGACUGUAUGUAUUGAUUCCUUAUGAUCCUGAAAGUUUUCAAGUUUAAGGCAAGAUGGAAGAUUUUUAUUUGGUGAUUGCUGCUGGAACAGAUAAUCUAUUUGUGGACAAAGAGAAACAGAAAGUUUCUCACUCAUUUCUCCUAAGUACUGCAAUAAGUGGGAAUGAGAAAGAUAGCAAGAAAGGAUACAAUUAGGAGAGGUAAAACAAAAUGAUCCUUUUUUGGUAAUAGAGAUUAUAAGAAGCAGCUAGAUGACUCAGUAGAUAGAGCUCUGGGCCUGGAGUCAGGAAGACUUGAGUUCAGAUCCAGCCCCAAAUAGUUACUAGCUAUGUCACUUAAUCUCUAUUUGCCUUAAUCCACUGGAGAAGGAAAUGUCAACCCACUCUAGUAUCCUUAUCAAGAAAACCCCAAAAGGUGUCAUGAAGAAUUGGACAUGACUGAACAUCUGAACAGCAACUAUAAUAGAUAGUUCUGUAUUUUCAGGUAAAUAGGUAACCUGGGAAAUUAAUGCUACCCCAGAGCUACUAAGCGGGCCAGUGGCAGAGUUGAUAUUACAACCUCUAAUCCUAAACUUUACUAUGUGGGUGAUACUCAAAAAUAGUAAAUCUUUCUUUGUUACAGGUGACCCUGACUUCUUGAAGGCUAUACUAGUGUAUUAUAAUCGAAUACACAGGUUCAGCUAAAUAGAAAGGUUCUACUAAGGUUCGUCAUGGAUGGGUUCUAGUAAGAUCAAAAACUUCUACAUAUGAACUCAUUGGCAGAACACACAUCUAAGGAGAAGCCUAGCUAAGUUUGAAAAGACUUAUCACUAGGUCUGCUGCCGGGUGCUGGGUUUUUUGGUUAUACCAACUUUCAGAUACCAUCUACCUAAUAAAAUCACAGAGCUUGAAGAAUUAAGUAUCUUC
rnacentral:lncRNA from 1 species